rnacentral:rRNA from 1 species
UGGGGAAUAUUGCACAAUGGGCGCAAGCCUGAUGCAGCCAUGCCGCGUGUAUGAAGAAGGCCUUCGGGUUGUAAAGUACUUUCAGCGAGGAGGAAGGCGUUGUGGUUAAUAACCGCAGCGAUUGACGUUACUCGCAGAAGAAGCACCGGCUAACUCCGUGCCAGCAGCCGCGGUAAUACGGAGGGUGCAAGCGUUAAUAGGAAUUACUGGGUGUAAAGCGCACGCAGGCGGUCUGUCAAGUCGGAUGUGAAAUCCCCGGGCUCAACCUGGGAACUGCAUCCGAAACUGGCAGGCUAGAGUCUUGUAGAGGGGGGUAGAAUUCCAGGUGUAGCGGUGAAAUGCGUAGAGAUCUGGAGGAAUACCGGUGGCGAAGGCGGCCCCCUGGACAAAGACUGACGCUCAGGUGCGAAAGCGUGGGGAGCAAACA